rnacentral:lncRNA from 1 species
GCUGACUCUUUUCAGACGCAGCCUGCCUGCACCCAGGUGAAAUAAACAGCCAUGUUGCUCACACAAAGCCUGUUUGGUGGUCUCUUCACACGGACAUGCAUGAAAUUUGGUGCCGUGACUCGGAUCGGGGGACCUCCCUUGGGAGAUCAAUCCCCUGUCCUCCUGCUCUUUGCUCCGUGAAAAAGAUCCACCUAUGACCUCAGGUCCUCAGACCCACCAGCCCAAGGAACAGCUCACCAAUUUUAAAUAGGAGAAGUUUACAAAACAAGGAGGAAGACUUCUACACCUCACAGCCAGGAUUCCCUGCUCUGGCUCUCGGCUGCUGCCUCAGGGUGAAUCUGUUGCUAGGUCAUCGUGGCAUCUCUGCAGGAUGACAGUGUUUUGGAAACAGUGAGAAACAGAUACUGAGAGAAGUCCCUAGCCUGGGUACCCAGAGAGCCUUUUACCUUCCUCUGGUAGGACUCAAUCCUGGUGUUGGUUACCCUAGACCAGGCCAGUGAAACAGAGUUGAGGUCUCACUAAGUUGCCCAGGCUGGUCUGGAACUCCUGGACUCGAGCAAUCCCCCCGCCUUGGCCUCCCAAAGUGCUGGGCUUACAGACAUGAGCCACCGUGUCCAGCUGACAGGAGGUCUUAACAUCCUUGUUUUUCGGA